UACGGGGGGGGCAAGCGUUGUUCGGAAUCACUGGGCUUAAAGGGCGCGUAGGCGGGCUGUCAAGUCUGGGGUGAAAUCCCACGGCUCAACCGUGGAACUGCCUUAGAUACUGACGGCCUCGAGGGAGAUAGGGGCGAGCGGAACUGUGAGUGGAGCGGUGAAAUGCGUUGAUAUUCACAGGAACUCCGGUGGCGAAGGCGGCUCGCUGGAUCUUUUCUGACGCUGAGGCGCGAAAGCUAGGGGAGCAAACGGG
rnacentral:rRNA from 1 species